rnacentral:rRNA from 1 species
CCUACGGGGUGCAGCAGUGAGGAAUAUUGGUCAAUGGGAGAGAUCCUGAACCAGCCAAGCCGCGUGAGGGAAGACGGCCCUAUGGGUUGUAAACCUCUUUUGUCGGAGAACAAAACCCGGGACGUGUCCCGUACUGCGUGUAUCCGAAGAAUACGCAUCGGCUAACUCCGUGCCAGCAGCCGCGGUAAUACGGAGGAUGCGAGCGUUAUCCGGAUUUAUUGGGUUUAAAGGGAGCGUAGGCGGUCCGUUAAGUCAGCGGUAAAAUGGCGGGGCUCAACCCCGACGAGCCGUUGAAACUGGCAGACUUGAGUGGGCGAGAAGUACGCGGAAUGCGCGGUGUAGCGGUGAAAUGCAUAGAUAUCGCGCAGAACUCCGAUUGCGAAGGCAGCGUACCGGCGCCAGACUGACGCUGAGGCACGAAAGCGUGGGGAUCGAACAGGAUUAGAUACCCCUGUAGUC